GUGUGGGAUGACAGACGUGAUGUUGUAAACCAGUGUCAGCAGGGAAGAAUGCCUUGAUGGUGAAUCCUGGAGAGACGGUACCUGCAGAGGAAGCCCCGGCUAUCUCCGUGCCAGCAGGCGCGGUAAUACUGAGGGGGCAAACGUUGUUCGGAUUUACUGUGCGUAACGGGUGUCUAGGCGGUUCGAUUAGUCUGGUGUGAAGUAUCCUCAGUCGACGAGGACGACGCAUUGGAUACUGUCGAGCUCGUCAGUGGAAAACGCCGGUGGAAUUCCUGGAGUAGCAGUGAAAUGCGUCACUUCUGGACGACGCUCGGUGGCGAAGGCGGGCUGCUGGUCCCUUGCUGACGCUGCAGCACGAAUUCCUUGGUGAGCUGCCUGGAUUAGAUACCCCUGUAGUCCUGGCCGUGAUCGUUGAACACUGGAUGUCGGUGCGUAUCGACCCCCUCGGCGUCGGAGCUAACGCGUUAAGUGUUCCGCCUGGCGAGUACGACCGCAAGGUUGACACUCAAAGGAAUAGACGGGGGCCCGCACAAGCGAUGGAGGAUGUGGUUUAAUUCGACGCAACGCGAAGAACCUUACCGGGGCCUGAACCGCAGGGUAAACACCUCUGAAAGGAGGCCCGCUUCAGGCAAUCCUGUAGAGGUACUGCAUGACAGUCGAUCAGCUCGUGUCGUGAGAUGUUGGUUUAAGUCCCCCUACGAGCGCAACCCUUGCUCUUAGUUACCAGCGCGUAAUGCCGGGGACUCUAAGAGGACCGCCCUCGCAAGGGGGAGGAAGGUGGGGAUGACGUCAAGUCCUCAUGG
rnacentral:rRNA from 1 species